rnacentral:rRNA from 1 species
UACGGGGGGGGCAAGCGUUGUUCGGAAUUACUGGGCGUAAAGGGCUCGUAGGCGGCCAACUAAGUCAUACGUGAAAUCCCUCGGCUUAACCGGGGAACUGCGUCUGAUACUGGAUGGCUUGAGUUCGGGAGAGGGAUGCGGAAUUCCAGGUGUAGCGGUGAAAUGCGUAGAUAUCAGGAGGAACACCUGUGGUGUAGACAGCUUACUGGACCACUUCUGACGCUGAGACACGAAAGCGUGGGUAGCAAACAGG